UACGUAGGUCGCAAGCGUUGUCCGGAUUUACUGGGCGUAAAGAGCGCGCAGGCGGCUGGUCAAGUCCGAUGUGAAAUCUCCCGGCUCAACUGGGAAACUGCAUCGGAAACUGAUCGGCUUGAAGAUGAGAGAGGGUAGUGGAAUUCCCGGUGUAGUGGUGAAAUGCGUAGAUAUCGGGAGGAACACCAGUGGCGAAGGCGACUACCUGGCCCAUUCUUGACGCUGAGGCGCGAAAGCUAGGGGAGCGAACGGG
rnacentral:rRNA from 1 species